AGAGUUUGAUCCUGGUUCAGGAUGAACGCCGGCGGUGUGCCUAAUACAUGCAAGUCGUACGCACUGGCCCAACUGAUUGAUGGUGCUUGCACCUGAUUGACGAUGGAUCACCAGUGAGUGGCGGACGGGUGAGUAACACGUAGGUAACCUGCCUCGGAGCGGGGGAUAACAUUUGGAAACAGAUGCUAAUACCGCAUAACAACAAAAGCCACAUGGCUUUUGUUUGAAAGAUGGCUUUGGCUAUCACUCUGGGAUGGACCUGCGGUGCAUUAGCUAGUUGGUAAGGUAACGGCUUACCAAGGCAAUGAUGCAUAGCCGAGUUGAGAGACUGAUCGGCCACAAUGGAACUGAGACACGGUCCAUACUCCUACGGGAGGCAGCAGUAGGGAAUCUUCCACAAUGGGCGCAAGCCUGAUGGAGCAACACCGCGUGAGUGAAGAAGGGUUUCGGCUCGUAAAGCUCUGUUGUUGGAGAAGAACGUGCGUGAGAGUAACUGUUCACGCAGUGACGGUAUCCAACCAGAAAGUCACGGCUAACUACGUGCCAGCAGCCGCGGUAAUACGUAGGUGGCAAGCGUUAUCCGGAUUUAUUGGGCGUAAAGCGAGCGCAGGCGGUUGCUUAGGUCUGAUGUGAAAGCCUUCGGCUUAACCGAAGAAGUGCAUCGGAAACCGGGCGACUUGAGUGCAGAAGAGGACAGUGGAACUCCAUGUGUAGCGGUGGAAUGCGUAGAUAUAUGGAAGAACACCAGUGGCGAAGGCGGCUGUCUGGUCUGCAACUGACGCUGAGGCUCGAAAGCAUGGGUAGCGAACAGGAUUAGAUACCCUGGUAGUCCAUGCCGUAAACGAUGAGUGCUAGGUGUUGGAGGGUUUCCGCCCUUCAGUGCCGGAGCUAACGCAUUAAGCACUCCGCCUGGGGAGUACGACCGCAAGGUUGAAACUCAAAGGAAUUGACGGGGGCCCGCACAAGCGGUGGAGCAUGUGGUUUAAUUCGAAGCUACGCGAAGAACCUUACCAGGUCUUGACAUCUUGCGCUAACCUUAGAGAUAAGGCGUUCCCUUCGGGGACGCAAUGACAGGUGGUGCAUGGUCGUCGUCAGCUCGUGUCGUGAGAUGUUGGGUUAAGUCCCGCAACGAGCGCAACCCUUGUUACUAGUUGCCAGCAUUAAGUUGGGCACUCUAGUGAGACUGCCGGUGACAAACCGGAGGAAGGUGGGGACGACGUCAGAUCAUCAUGCCCCUUAUGACCUGGGCUACACACGUGCUACAAUGGACGGUACAACGAGUCGCAAGCUCGCGAGAGUAAGCUAAUCUCUUAAAGCCGUUCUCAGUUCGGACUGUAGGCCGCAACUCGCCUACACGAAGUCGGAAUCGCUAGUAAUCGCGGAUCAGCAUGCCGCGGUGAAUACGUUCCCGGGCCUUGCACUCACCGCCCGUCA
rnacentral:rRNA from 1 species